rnacentral:rRNA from 1 species
UACGGGGGGAGCAAGCGUUGUCCGGAUUUACUGGGCGUAAAGGGCGCGUAGGCGGCCACUGCAAGUCGGUUGUGAAAUCUCCGGGCUUAACCCGGAAAGGUCAACCGAUACUGCAGGGCUAGAGUGCAGAAGGGGCAACUGGAAUUCUCGGUGUAGCGGUGAAAUGCGUAGAUAUCGAGAGGAACACCUGCGGCGAAGGCGGGUUGCUGGGCUGACACUGACGCUGAAGCGCGAAAGCUAGGGGAGCGAACGGG